rnacentral:rRNA from 1 species
UGAACGCUGGCGGCAUGCCUAACACAUGCAAGUCGAACGAAUGAAUCUGGUUCGCCAGAUUCGUGAGUGGCAGACGGGUGAGUAAUACAUAGGAAUCUGCCUUGUAGUGGGGAAUAACUGUUGGAAGCAACAGCUAAUACCCCCAUAUUGCCGAGAGGUGAAAGAUUUAUCGCUACAAGAUGAGCCUAUGCAAGAUUAGCUAGUUGGUGGGGUAAAGGCCUACCAAGGCUGUGAUCUUUAGUUGGUCUGAGAGGAUGAUCAGCCACACUGGAACUGAGACACGGUCCAGACUCCUACGGGAGGCAGCAGUGGGGAAUAUUUGACAAUGGGCGAAAGCCUGAUCGAGCAAUGCCGCGUGAGUGAUGAAGGCCUUAGGGUUGUAAAGCUCUUUUAGUAGCUAAGAUAAUGACUCGCUAC